GCGGAAUUAGCUCAUUUGGUAGAGCAUCUGCUUCCCAAGCAGAGGGUGGCGAGUUCGAACCUCGUAUUCCGCUCCA
rnacentral:tRNA from 2 species